CUGUUGGAGCUUGGAGGCAUGGAGGCCAUUUUGAGUGGCUGUUGAUUGAGUCAAAAGUGACACCUUGCAUAGAAAGUGUGGGAGCUGAGACACAGACCCUCGGAUUCAUUUAAAACCUUUAAAAAUUUGAUUAUUUUGUGUUGGGUUCGAGAAAUUGGCAGUCUUGAUGUGGAUGUAAAAUGGACAAAAAGUUAUAUUCUGUUCCCAGAACUAACAGAAGGUGUGGCUGUUAUUGUUCCUCAGACUAAACACAUUUCAUACUUUAGUCUAGUCUUGACCAGCAUUUCCUCCAUCUUCUGACAUCAAGACAAAACAGUCACUCCAAAAAGAUAUUAUGAUCUUACAACUUUCUUUCUGUGAAAUGUUUAGCCUGAAAAUAGUGUCUAAACUGUAUAUUUCUACAAAAGAAAUGCCACUUGGUUUGAUAUUUGGUGUAAUGCAAUGACAUUCAUACAUUUAAGCGUGGCCUAAAUGUGUCCAGAUAUCUGAGGGUCACCGUAAGUCAUGCAACAUGUGCAGUCAGUGAUGAACAUCCUCUGAUUGUUGUUGGUUUUUGCCGCUCUACAGGAUUGACCUCCCUCCAACUCACAAGCCUCCUCCUCCAUAUACAGAGAGACCUCCUGCCAUCCCACUGGCCUCUCAGGCCCCUCAGGUGGCCUCAUUCUCUCAGGCUCGUCGGAUGGAGAGGCGCUAUGAAUUGGCUGAACGGGCGCCAGGCAGGGUGGCUCGCAGAGACCUCCAGAGCCCCACUCACCAUUCUCUGUCCUGUCAGGAGUGGAUAUGUCAUCAGAAUGGGGCGGACCAAGUUUACAUCAACCACAGAGAACACUACGUGUGACAGCGUCCUCAUGUAAACCGCAGCGCACUGCCAGCCCCAAAGUGAAAACUGUUUACGAGAAUACUGGGAGCAAAACAAAAUCACUGCUAUACAGUAAUUAGGACACUGAACUAUUACUGGUGUAAAUAAUUACUGGUCUAUAUAAUGCAGAAUGAAAACCCUGGCAGCAUAUAUGUGUAAUUGUUCUUGCUUGUUUAACACGUACAGUGUAGUCCAAUAUAAAAUAAAUGACCUAGGUAGCCUAGGCUACCUAUAUGAGUCUCUUUGUUCACUCAUAUUUCAAAUGCAGUGGUCAAACUGAGGGUGACUACAGCUGAAAACAGUCCAAGACUGCACAAAAUGCUGUAGGGAUCAUUGUUCCUUGUUGUAAUUGUUUUAAUCAUAUGUUGCAUUACACGAGGACUUUUCCCUCAGUGAAAUGUUUGUUUGUUUUUUCUUUGUAGACCAGUUGUCAUUUUAGGUUUGACAAAUUGAGAUUUGAUUUGUUUGCUUAUGACAGAUAGUGACUGCUAGAGGUCAUUUGCCAUAAGUUGUUUUGUUUACACUGUUAUGUUCAUAACACUUAAAAAUAAAGGUUCUCUAUUGGCAUUGACGGUUCCAUGAUGAACCUUUAACAUCCAUGGAACCAUUCCAUUGGUGGGGGGGGGCAUGUGCUUUAUAUAGAGUGAAAAAUGUUCUUCACUCGAAUUAAAAUGGUUCUUUUAUGAACUGUUUACUGAAAGGUUGUUUGGGGAACCCAAAAUGGUUCUUCUAUGGCAUCACUGUGAAAACCCUCCUUUGGAACCUUUAUUUUUAAGAAUAUAGAUGUGAAUUUGAAUCAUAAGGCACAUGCUUAUGUACUUUGUCAUUGCCUACAGUAUGUGUGUAGAUACUGUUUUAUGUACAAUGUAAAUAUCUAAGCUCAUAAUCAGUGUACGUAACAAUAAACUGUGAAUAGAGGCUUUUUUGAAUGUUUAAGCUCAAUUAGAUCAUUUUUGUUCACUUUUUUCCAUUCAAUAUGUAGUAAAGCGUGAACUUUGAAUCUCAUAACCAAAGCAAUCUUUGCAUUACAUCAUACCAAUAAUCAAAUAAAGUGAUGUAACCAGUACAUAUGAGACUUGUUUUACUGUGCAGCACAUUAUCAAAUGACGUCAUUGUCCAUCUAUGCUGCUUUGCAGCAAACGCAUCUAAAAUAACGAACCAGAGUUUAUAAGCCUAGACUAAACAGCGCUGCUACUUCUCAAAUCCACAAACAAUCUUAUUAGACAGAGGUUUGAGAGUCAAAUAUAGGUUGUAAAAUCUGAUGAAUGCUUAAAACGCUGCUCUAUAGUCAUCAAGACUGCUGGACAACUUUCCCCAGUCGAUGAU
rnacentral:lncRNA from 1 species